AGAGAUAUGGCCCCUUGAAGCGCUCGUACUGAAAAUACAGCAGAUGCGCUCCGAUGUACUCGGGGCAAUGGCUGGUAGUGUCUCCUCAAGUAACAGCCUUCGCACACGUAUUGGUGAGGUGGAGACCAUGAUUGCCAUGUUGAAAGAGAGGUGCUCUUGUUACAUGGAUGUUGAUUAAGAAUGUUACACCAGCCUGAUUGACGUCAUUUUGACUUGGAACAAAUUUUGCAUGUAUAUUAUGUGCUAAAAAUGAUACACAAGCCUAAUUGAUAUUUUACUCUUUGAUAACUUUUCGAUUUGGAACAGAUUGUGCAUGUAAAUUAUGUGUUAAAAGUUAGAAACUUUGUUACAAAUGCUUUUAAUAGCUACCAAUUGUUUUAGAUAGAAGAGUAAUAAGUAUUACACUCCAUAAGCAUGCUCAUGGCUGCAUGUUGUUUCACCUGUUUACUAGUUUGCAUUUCAUUUUUUUUUAUGAUUUUAUUUAUUAUUUUAUAAAUAUUGUUUACAGGGUAAACAUUUAAAUCAUUUGACAGGUAAUUUAAACUUUUUUAAUAAAAAUCUGAGAACUUGAAUUCACAUGAAUAAAUGUGUGUGUGCGUGCGUGUGUGUGUGUGUUUUUUUGUAAUAAAUUAUUGUUCAUACCAUUCCCUUGAAUGUUAAAAACAAAGUCAAACAAAAACAAGCCAAUUUAUUUUUAGGGCAAAAUUGAAAAGGGGAAUAAACAUCUUAAAUGUCAUUUCUAGAAAUAUUUUGUAACAAAUCUACAACUUAUCUUGAACAUGAAAUUGCUGGCUUUUGUUUUUUAAAGAAUAUUAACUUUUUACGCAUUUUUAGGCUUUCAAGCGGGUUCUUCUUUUCCUACUUUUUCUUGAAAAAGCCCUAAUAUCCCUACUUUUUUGUAAAAAUGGUUUGAGAAAUAAUAGAAAAGUUUUAACUAAAUGCAUUAAUUGAGAUCAUUUAAAUCUUGAUUUUAAUAAGAAGGCAUUUCUAGCAUUUUGAAGGAUUAGUUUGAUGCAGUAGGUCUCCAUUGCUGCAAGAGGGGUUCUAUGAUGGGAUUAAGUGGCGUACAUGUGUGUUGACAAGUUGGAGACACCAAUUCCAGUUUCAUCUCCUCGUCCUGUGGCUGAAUCCUUCUUGAAGCACUGGUUUUUAAGCAAAGUUCACUACAUGUACAUCACAAUUGAUGAAUAGAUUUUGUAGUCAUUUAUUUUCAUCCAAAAAAGAGCCCUAUUAUCACUACUUUUUGCUUUUUGCUCUUAAUAUCCCUAUUUUACCCUACCUUUCAAAAAGAUUUGCCUACUUUUUAUCCCUAUUUAUAUCCCUAUCUUUUUAUAUUGGUCACUUGAAAGCCUGUAUUUGAACAAUGCAAACUAUAUUUAGUUAAUACAGAAUCACAUGCCUGAAAUUGUCCACUGUUUGAUUAAUCCUCAGCUUUACUUGACUAUCAAACAGUUGUAAAGAUUGUUUUGCUGUGACAUUUGCAUCUUAAACAGAAGAAAGUACCUUGAAAUAAAUAUAUAUGACUUUUUCACUUGAUUAUCAAAAGUUGUAAAGAUUGUUUUGUUGUCACACAAGAAAGUACCUUGAAUAAGAUAUAAAUGACUUUCUCUCUUGAUUAUUGAACAGUUGUUAAGAUUGUUUUGUCAUGAACAGAAGGAAGUACCUUGAAAUAAUUAUUAAUGACUUUUUUACUUGAUUAUCGAACAGUUGUUAACAUUGUUUUGUUGUCACACAAGGAAGUACCUUGGAAAUAAAUGUAAAUGACUUUUUUACUUGAUUAUCGAACAGUUGUUAACAUUGUUUAGUUGUCACACAAGGAAGUACCUUGGAAAUAAAUGUAAAUGACUUUUUUACUUGAUUAUCGAACAGUUGUUAAGAUUGUUUAGUUGCCUUAAACAGAAGGAAGUACCUUGAAAUAAAUGUAAAUGGCUUUUUUUACUUGAUUAUCGAACAGUUGUUAAGAUUGUUUAGUUGCCUUAAACAGAAGGAAGUACCUUGAAAUAAAUGUAAAUGACUUUUUCACUUGAUUAUCGAACAGUUGUUAAGAUUGUUUAGUUGCCUUAAACAGAAGGAAGUACCUUGAAAUAAAUGUAAAUGACUUUUUUACUUGAUUAUUGAACAGUUGUCAAGAUUGUUUUGUUGUCAUAAACAGAAGGAAGUACCUUGAAAUAAAUAUAAAUGACUUUGAA